GGUAGCCAUGCUCAUAUCCCACAAAACGUUCAGUCUCUCUCUGUCCGUUGCUGAGAAAGUAGAGUACAUUCUUUUUUAUUUUUGAAAAAUACGCUGAUCGGGUUUCUACCGUUCUGCAUGACCCGAGUGUUUGCAUAUGUACGCGCUUCUGACUACUCCAGCCAGCAAGCUAAGGGCACUACUGAGAAUUCAUAAACAUCGCCGUAUGAACCUUCCGAUGUUCAUGGCAAAGCGAGACCCCCCCACAGCCUCUCCUCCGCGUAACCAGGAGGGCGAUCACUUCACUAGUGCAAGAAAAGACCCGACCCGUCAGGGUCACGUGCAGCAAUCUGGUUGAGGCAGUUGGGCAUGACUAUGCUGACCACCAGCAGAGACCCAGCUCUGGAUUGCAGGAGGUACCUGCACCACCGACUACACCAGAUAUGACAUCUGAAGUACUGGAGCAGCUUGAAACUCUUCCUGCAUCCCUGCACUUGAGCAGAGGUCCCAACUCCUUGAGGAAAAGUUUCCCUGCGGGAGAACAUCCUGAAGAGUGAGCACAUUCAGCAUUGAGCACUUCAGUUCCGUCUGUCUGCGAGAUGCCACGCUCUGUAACUGCAUUUGCGAUUGAGUAGCCUAUACCCCCAACAGCAGCCCACCCAAGGUCUAUUUAAGUACUUAUGUAGACGUUGGCCCAACCCGGCCUACCGGCCAUUUCAGGGAACUUCCAAAUCCUUUCAUCAGGCAGGCUCUGUAUCCCUCCAACCUGCUUUGAGGAGAUUCCUGUCUUUUAUGGAGGGACAUCAAUCUCAUGCAGUCAGCAACGUAGCCAGAAGUAGUUCUGCGGACCAAGUUAGGGAGUUAACUCAUUUCAGCAGUUUUUCGAGAUGCCGGCUUACUGAGAUGAUUCCAGUCCCCACUUAUUUUUCCAGGCUGUUGAGAUGGCAGUCAUGCAGUGCACCCGGGACUAUCCUCAUGACAUCUGGGACGUGGUUGACUUAAUCGGCUGCAGGAUGACGAAGUGUCAGGUUACCUGGGACUCUACAGUUGGGGUGAAGCCCUUCUUGUCACUUGUCAGUAGGCUCCCUCAUAAUGUACCUUCACACUACAGUGGUAACGUGUCGGCCUCUCAUCCGAGGGGUUGGCGAUUCGCGCCCCGGCCAGGUAUGAAAAGUUUCAACUGUCUUCUGGAGGUUACCGCUGUGGCUAAGCACUCGGCUGAUCGAGUCGGCACAGGCCCGGCUCCCUUCAUAGGCAUAUCCCUGGCGAGGCUCACCUUCACAUAUCGGACUUGCCCUUACACUUGGCCAUGACAAGGACUGCACGAAUCGGCCAUGGUUCUAGACUUGCCAGCAGCAGCUACGACAGGUGUUGUCCCUGCUCUGGAAUAACCAAUUUCAGGCAGUGAAGCCUGUCCGCUCCAAAGUACCCGACAUCAAUGCAGAUACGUAAAUCCGAGAAGACCAACAUGUGUCCAAGAAAGGUCCUCGUUACGUCAUCUUCGUACAAAACGGAGCCAGCUCGGUUGCACACAGACAACGGCUCUUACCAGAAGAGUGGUCAUCUCCGCUGAUAUGAAGCACUUUUCCAUUGCCUACAAUCCUUAGUCCAAUGGGGUGGUUGAAUGCAGUAACAUGACAGCAAAGGCUGCCUUUGCACAGCAGUCACCUUCAGUGACCUCUUUUACCUACCAGCUGUUCAUCUGGCACUCAACACUGCCCUCCACCGUUCUGAUGGGGACCAGCUCCUUUAUCUCGUGAAGGAAAGGAUGGCACCUUUUCUCCAUUGCUUACUUAUCCUUCAGGUGCCUACGGUGCCUUGUAAGAAAAUCGGUGGAAUUCAUAGGCAUUGACGACCAAUGUUGGUUGUGUGCCGGUCUCGAGGUAAUUCCCUGAAGUUACCUUGUUUCUCGUAAAGGUGGUGACACUUCCUCCGUCGGGAAAGGAUUAUAGAGGACCCCAUGGACCGCCUUGCUUAAUUUCUUGAAUGACCUUAAGAAACGGCUGGUCAUUUUAUUAUAGGAUCGUAUUUUAUUCCCAUUAUAUAUUUGUUUUCAUUCUGAUUAUCUUUUGCCUUCGUGAUGAUAAAUCCUUCAUUUGCCAAACUGCCUUAGAUAGUUUUAAAGCAGUUCAAACGGCCAUUCCAUUCUGAAGGAAGGGACUGGGCAGUUGAUCAGAUAACCUUGUGUUGUGUUGUGUUGCACUGUUAGUCUUUUCUUCUUUCCUUUUCCUUCUGCACCCCCUUGUUCUGUCCACUUAUCCUAGUUCCUAUUCCCUUAACCCCUUCCCCUUCUAACAAUAUUUUCCUUAUGCUAUGCCCCAUCAGUUCCCCCCCUCUACCCUUUUCACUAUCCUACAACCCUCUAGUGCUGUUCAAACUAACUUUGCCCUAAUCAUUGACUCGUUCCUAACCCUUUUCGCUACUUCCUUAACUUUGCUUCCAAGACUUCUGCUAUCGCUAUACUUUAAAUAUUCCGCUGAUGACCUUAGACGACGAAGCGGCAGAAAAUGUUAAAUAAAUCAAAUAGUAGUGAAGGGAGAAAGGAUCAUCACAUCCCAAUUAGCUACUUCUCUAUUCUAUUCUUCGUCGCCGUUACCAUCCUUACCUUUUUCUUAUAACAAUUCCUUAAUUUCUAUUUUUUCUGUCAACAUUAGUGUUUAGAGAGAAUUACAUUAUUUUCCUCUAUUUUUUUCUAAGUAUCUCCCUUCGUUUCUUUUAUUUCCAUCCUCCUUAUCCCUGCUUCUCCAUUUUUUUUUUUUUUUUUCUUUUAAUGUAGCCUCUUUUUUGUGUAAAAAUCAAUGUUUUGAUAUUGUGAUUUUCUCGUUUAUUGAUUUUUUGUCUAUAUAUGUAUUUUAUAAUUCCCAGAACGUCAACUCGUCUUUAUAAUAGUUUUGUAUCAAGUCUCUUUGAAUAAAGUGUAAUU